rnacentral:tRNA from 1 species
GGCACUUUGGCGGAGUGGUUAACGCGAUGCCCUGCUAUACCCUAAUAAGGGUGAGCCUAGGCAUUCCCUUCGGGGGCGUGAGUUCGAAUCUCACAGGUGUCG